GGUGAACGCUAGCGGCAGGCCUAACACAUGCAAGUCGAGGGGCAUCACGGAUUGCUUGCAAUCUGGUGGCGACCGGCGCACGGGUGCGUAACGCGUAUACAACCUACCUUUUGGAGGGGAAUAGCCCAGAGAAAUUUGGAUUAAUACCCCAUAGUAUAUAGGAAUCUCCUGAUUUUUAUAUUAAACAUUUAUGGCCAUUAGAUGGGUAUGCGUCCUAUUAGCUAGUUGGUGUGGUAACGGCACACCAAGGCUACGAUAGGUAGGGGUCCUGAGAGGGAGAUCCCCACACUGGUACUGAGACACGGACCAGACUCCUACGGGAGGCAGCAGUGAGGAAUAUUGGACAAUGGGCGAGAGCCUGAUCCAGCCAUGCCGCGUGCAGGAAGACUGCCCUAUGGGUUGUAAACUGCUUUUACAGAGGAAGAACCACCCCCACGUGUGGGGGUUUGACGGUACUCUGCGAAUAAGGAUCGGCUAACUCCGUG
rnacentral:rRNA from 1 species